rnacentral:rRNA from 1 species
CAGUAGCCGCGGUAAUACCGAGGGUGCGAGCGUUAAUCGGAUUUACUGGGCGUAAAGCGUGCGUAGGCGGCUUCUUAAGUCGGAUGUGAAAUCCCUGAGCUUAACUUAGGAAUUGCAUUAGAUACUGGGAAGCUAGAGUAUGGGAGAGGAUGGUAGAAUUCCAGGUGUAGCGGUGAAAUGCGUAGAGAUCUGGAGGAAUACCGAUGGCGAAGGCAGCCAUCUGGCCUAAUACUGACGCUGAGGUACGAAAGCAUGGGGAGCAAACAGGAUUAGAUACCCGAGUAGUCCCUGUCUCUUAUAC